rnacentral:rRNA from 1 species
UACGUAGGGUGCGAGCGUUGUCCGGAAUUAUUGGGCGUAAAGAGCUCGUAGGCGGUGUGUCACGUCGGCCGUGAAAACCUGGGGCUUAACUCUGGGCGUGCGGUCGAUACGGGCAUCACUAGAGUUCGGCAGGGGAGACUGGAAUUCCUGGUGUAGCGGUGAAAUGCGCAGAUAUCAGGAGGAACACCGGUGGCGAAGGCGGGUUGCUGGGCCGACACUGACGCUGAUGCGCGAAAGCCAGGGGAGCGAACGGG